GCUUCCUCCUCCUCAUCUAGAUUUCAAAUCGGACUUAGAGACGGAAGUCGCGUCUGGCCCCAGCGGCUGUUUUAAAGACCUCCUGCUUGCGCUGAUCAAGACCAGCCGGGAGAAAUACUCCGGGGUCAUUGACUACGUCUUGAUCGAAGAAGAUGCCAAGGCUCUCGUGAACGCGGGCGCUGGCUACAUCGGCAGGACGGAUGAGAGGAAAUGGAUCAAGAUCCUCGCCCAGCGCAGCCCUGAACAUCU